GUGAAUCAUCAAAUUUUUGAACGCAAAUUGCACUCUCUUCGGAGAGUAUGCCUGUUUGAGGGUCAGCCUAAAAAAAAUCAACAUAGUCGCUGUUUCGCGUUGACAUUCGUCGGAAAUUGGGUCAUCUUAAACCUUUUGAUUUUAGGCAUCUUAAAAUUUUCUUUACUAUUCCACAAGCGUUCCUAAGAUUUACUUCUUCCACGUUUAGGUUUAGCUAUCUUUAUUAGACGUGGCCAUUACAUCUUA
rnacentral:misc_RNA from 1 species